ACGAUCACGAUCACAUGAUUGUGUUUUGAUAAUGUUCUCACCUUGGUUUGAUUUUCCUAAAUAUCUAUAUAUUUGUGUGGAAGUACUAUCAAACCGCUGUCAAGGUAACAUGCUCUGGAUGUAAACAAAAGUACCACUCUUCUUCAGCUACAAGAGCUCAGCAGCACUGCAUCAGCUGUAGUGCAAGGAUGGUGUCUUCUUUUAUUCCUACCUCCAUGUCUCAACUGGGUGAAUUUCAUAGUCUCAGGGAGGUUACUUGCAUAUUGAAGUGCUUAUAAACUUAGCAAUGUCUAGAAAAUAAUUUCAUGCAAACUUGGAAGCUACUGCCUUAACUGUAUGCUGCUAUACAUUAAAUUUAGUAAGAUUUCAUAUUUUGCACAUCAGCUGUAAAAUGUACAUUUCCAAAAUAAAAUUUUAUUACAGAAUUAUAAAUUCAAACAUGACAAUACAUAUUAUAUUUUAUUCCUCUAUCCCAAUUAAAUAAACAGAUUACGAAAAUGUGCAUUUAAAUAUAGUAUUUACUAUAAAUAUAUCGGGAACAAAUACCAAAAAUCACCUACUCAAACUGGUAGUCAAGUAUAUUCCAAAUUUCCUAUUUUUGAUAUGUGAAUAAGUAAUGAGCUUUUUAAAACAAAAACACACAAUUUGGCUGAAAUAUAGAAACUACACAUUAAUUAUAUACUACAUGAAGAACUUUAUGAAAUACAAUACCCUAUAUAAGGUUCUGAUAUGAGAAAUUUGACC